AGCAUGGGGCAAACGCUGCCCGAUCACGCCCGCCUUAGAGGCCACGGCAUCACUGGGGUGACUGCGAGCCCCGGCCGUGGAGCCGCUGGGACGCGGCUUACCUCCCGGCUGUCGCUCCUGUGUGUGUUACCCUGCGCCAAUCACGUCCCUGAUGGGACCCUCAGUUUCGGCGUCUGUAAGGCGGGGAGGACGAUGCGUCCCCUCCCUCGCAGGAUUGAGGUUAGGACUAAACGGGGUCCGCAGCGCCGGGCAGCUCCCGAGCGCUCUCCCCAGCCGCGCCUCCCUCCUUCCCGCCACCGGUCCCGCAGGGGCCCGCGGCGUCACCUCUCAGGCUGUAGCGCGCCUGCAUGCCGAAUACCGACAGGGUGCCGGUGCCCGUGCGGUCGUCCUUCCUGACGCCGCAGCGGAGGAUGUGCUCGAUCUGCCCCAGAUAGGUGGUGUCCUCCAAGUGCUUCCGGGUCAUCUGGAGAAUCUGGCCAUACUGCUGAUUGGAUACAUUGACCAACCUGAUCGCCUCAUCUAAUUCUGUGUGCAGAGCAGGUACAUCAGGACAGUCUAGCAG
rnacentral:lncRNA from 1 species